AUGAGAGAGAAAGCUAGGGUUCAUCCAUCCUUUUCAUGGUGGGAAGGGGAAAUUCGUGGGGAUCCUAGAUCGUUUGCUCAAGUUGUUUCAUCUCCUCCCACCAAGCCUGCAGUAGAUCCCAACUUCGAUCCACCUAAGAUGAGGGAAGAAGGGUUUGGUGCUAGCCGCCAUGGCCACGACGUGGGCCGCUUCAACCGUGGCGAGGGGCGCGGUCAUGGGGAUGGAGGCGGUCACGGGCGCGCGGGAGGCGGCAGUGGGGGGAGUGGGCAUGGCCGGGAGAGCCAUGUCUGGACUCGCAAGACGGCCGGGGCCUCCUCCUCCAACGUCCCGUCCAGAUCUGAUGAGACGGGAUUCGAACGAUGGGAGAAAGCUGCGGGGGCCAGCCAAGAUGCCCUUUCUCAUCAGGAGUGCUGGGGCUUUGAUGGGGGUGACAAGUCUCUCCACAACUCCGACAACUCUGCGCCUCAUGUUAAGCUGCGUGAGAUUCCCCUUAAUCCUGAUCCUAUGGUUGCGUCUUCUGAAUCUUGUCAAAUCUGCAAUCUGUUAGGCCAUCCUACUGCUAGAUGCCCCCAGGCGCUUUGUGUUAGAUGCAAGAAGAAAGGUCACACCUCUGUUAUCUGCACUUCCUUCCUUCCUUGGGAGUGCAUACCUGCGAUGUGUUCUUUCCAAGCUAAAGGGCAAGGUUUUCAUUAUAUCCAUGAUUACUUUGUUAGUAGUCAGAACAAUGAUAGGAUUGUUAAGGUCAUUAUUACCAUAGUUGAGGGGGAGAUUACCACCAAGCAGCUAGUGGAUGAGUUUGAGAAAUACAUUGGGCAGGGAUGGCGCUGCUCGGUCCAUCUGAUUGCACCAAAUCAAUAUGUGAUGCGUUUUCCAACCAGAGAGAGGUGGAUAGAGUUGUCUUUGUUGAAUACAUUACUCUCAAGUCUCUAG
rnacentral:rRNA from 1 species